ensembl:rRNA 5S_rRNA 5S ribosomal RNA
CAUGACACCCCAAGUGUAGCAGAUCUUGUCUGACCUCAGGAACUAAGCAGUUUUAGCCUGGUUAGUACUUGGAUGAGAGACAUGUUGGACUGUACCAGUUCUCAUGU